CUACGGGGGGCUGCAGUGAGGAAUAUUGCACAAUGGGGGGAACCCUGAUGCAGCAACGCCGCGUGGAGGAUGACGCAUUUCGGUGUGUAAACUCCUUUUAUAUGUCAAGAAAAUGACGGUAGCAUAUGAAUAAGCACCGGCUAACUCCGUGCCAGCAGCCGCGGUAAUACGGAGGGUGCAAGCGUUACUCGGAAUCACUGGGCGUAAAGGACGCGUAGGCGGGUUGGAAAGUCAGGUGUGAAAUCCUACAGCUUAACUGUAGAACUGCACUUGAAACUUCUGAUCUAGAGUAUGGGAGGGGGAGAUGGAAUUAGUGGUGUAGGGGUAAUAUCCGUAGAUAUCACUAGGAAUACCUAAAGCGAAGGCGAUCUCCUGGAACAUUACUGACGCUAAGGCGUGAAAGCGUGGGGAGCAAACAGGAUUAGAUACCCUAGUAGUC
rnacentral:rRNA from 1 species